rnacentral:rRNA from 1 species
CGAGUCUUGGCAACGAAUAUCUUGUCUCCGCAUCGAUGAAGAACGUAGCGAAAUGCGAUACCUGGUGUGAAUUGCAGAAUCCCGUGAACCAUCGACUCUUUGAGCCAAGUUGCGCCUGAGGCCACUCGGUCGAGGGCACGCCUAUAU